UACGUAGGUGACAAGCGUUGUCCGGAUUUACUGGGCGUAAAGAGCGCGCAGGCGGUCGAUCAAGUCGAGUGUGAAAGCCCCCGGCUCAACUGGGGAGGGUCAUUCGAAACUGGUCGACUCGAAGGCAGGAGAGGGUAGUGGAAUUCCCGGUGUAGAGGUGAAAUUCGUAGAUAUCGGGAGGAACACCGGUGGCGAAGGCGCUCAUCUGGCCCGAUACUGACGCUGAGGCGCGAAAGCUAGGGGAGCAAACGGG
rnacentral:rRNA from 1 species